GCGGAUGUGGCGGAAUUGGUAGACGCCCUGGAUUUAGGUUCCAGUGCCGAGAGGCGUGUAGGUUCGACUCCUAUCAUCCGCACCA
rnacentral:tRNA from 2 species